rnacentral:lncRNA from 1 species
AAGGCUGCUGGAGCCCGUCUACCUGGUUGAGAUCCAGGCCCCGGAGAAUGCACUUGGUGGCAUCUAUGGUGUUCUGAACCAGAAGAGAGGGCACGUGUUCGAGGAGAUGCAGAGGCAAGGUACCCCGCUCUACAACAUCAAGGCCUACCUCCCCGUCAUCGAGUCCUUUGGGUUCUCAAGCACCCUGAGGGCCGCGACCUCCGGCCAGGCCUUCCCCCAGUGUGUGUUUGACCACUGGGACAUCAUGGCUUCUGAUCCUUUGGACCCGGGCACCCAGUCGGCGACGCUUGUCACGGAGAUCCGCAAGAGGAAGGGUCUCAAGGAGCAGAUGACCCCUCUAUCUGAUU